AGAACGAACGCUGGCGGCAUGCCUAACACAUGCAAGUCGAACGCUUUUGGGGCUUCGGUCCCAAAGGAGUGGCGCACGGGUGAGUAGCGCGUGGGAACCUGCCCUGUUGUGGGGGAUAACCGAGGGAAACUUCGGCUAAUACCGCAUACGCCCGGGGGAAACUCCGGGGAAAGAUUUAUCGCAGCAGGAGGGGCCCGCGUCGGAUUAGGUAGUUGGUGGGGUAACGGCCCACCAAGCCUGUGAUCCGUAGCUGGUCUGAGAGGAUGAUCAGCCACACUGGGACUGAGACACGGCCCAGACUCCUACGGGAGGCAGCAGUGGGGAAUAUUGGACAAUGGGCGCAAGCCUGAUCCAGCAAUGCCGCGUGAGUGAUGAAGGCCUUGGGUUGUAAAGCUCUUUCGCACGCGACGAUGAUGACGGUAGCGUGAGAAGAGCCCGGCUAACUUCGCGCCAGCAGCCGC
rnacentral:rRNA from 1 species